ensembl:ncRNA C18E3.10 ncRNA
GUCAAACUAGAAUACGAAGACAGAAUCUCUUCAUCGGAAUCCAUCGCAAUUCAAAUUCAAAGAAAUAGUAAUUAAUAAUCUCAACCCCCAUCCCUGAGCAUUUAAAUACGAUGUUUAUAGAGAGG